AGGGAUGUAGUUAUUCAAUAACAUUUAAUUUGCAAUUAAAAAGAACUUUGUAAGUCUUCCUUA
rnacentral:tRNA from 1 species